UUUAUGUUCUUCCCGUGAGGGGAAGCUAAGAGGGAAGCAGGUAUAAGUCCUGCGCGGUCCCGCCACUGUAAUUGGAGAGUUUUGAUCAAAGGCUUACGCCGUCCACUGGACAAACAGCAAAUCUGUUGACUGGGAAGGCUGAUUAAAAUGAUGACCCAUAAGCCAGGAGACCUGCAUAGAA
rnacentral:ncRNA from 1 species